AGUGGCGAAAGGGCGAGGAAUAUAAUCGAAUGUACCCCAAGGUAGAGGAUAGCUUCUGGAAACGGGAGGUAAUACUCUAUGUGCUCUACGGAGGAAAGGUUUACCGCCUUGGGAGCGGCGAUUAUCCUAUCAGGUAGUUGGUGAGGUAAAGCCUCACCAAGCCGAAGACGGGUAGCGGGUGUGAGAGCAUGACCCGCCGCAUCGGGACUGAGACACUGCCCGGACUCCUACGGGAGGCUGCAGUAACGAAUCUUCCGCAAUGGGCGAAAGCCUGACGGAGCAAUGCCGCGCGUGGGAUGAAGCAUUUCGAUGUGUAAACCACUGUCAGGGUCUAGGAAUACUGACCAGACCCAAAGGAAGGGCCGGCUAAUUCUGUGCCAGCAGCCGCGGUAAUACAGAAGGCCCGAGCGUUAAUCGGAAUCACUGGGCUUAAAGCGUACGCAGGCGGACUUGUAGGUAUCUUGUGAAAUCCCAUGGCUUAACCAUGGAACUGCAGGGUAAACCACAAGUCUUGAGACAUGUAGGGGUCAGUGGAACCAUGAGUGGAGCGGUGAAAUGCGUAGAUAUUCAUGGGAACGCCAAUGGCGAAGGCAGCUGACUGGGCAUGUUCUGACGCUCAGGUACGAAAGCGUGGGUAGCGAACGGGAUUAGAUACCCCGGUAGUCCACGCCGA
rnacentral:rRNA from 1 species